UACGAAGGUCCCGAGCGUUGUUCGGAUUCACUGGGCGUAAAGGGAGCGUAGGCGGCGCGGUAAGUCAGAUGUGAAAUCCCGGGGCUCAACCCCGGAACUGCAUCCGAUACUGCCGUGCUAGAGGAUUGGAGAGGUAGCUGGAAUUCUUGGUGUAGCAGUGAAAUGCGUGGAGAUCAAGAGGAACACUCGUGGCGAAAGCGAGCUACUGGACAAUAUCUGACGCUGAGGCUCGAAGGCCAGGGUAGCGAAAGGG
rnacentral:rRNA from 1 species